UAGUGAGUUUGAUCCUGGCUCAGAACGAACGCUGGCGGUCUGCUUAACACAUGCAAGUCGAACGCAAGUAGAAAUACUUGAGUGGCGGACGGGUGAGUAACGCGUGAGAAUCUGCCUUCUGGUCGGGGACAACCACUGGAAACGGUGGCUAAUGCCGGAUAUGCCUAUGGGUGAAAGAUUAAUUGCCAGAAGAAGAGCUCGCGUCUGAUUAGCUAGUUGGAGAGGUAAAGGCUCACCAAGGCAUCGAUCAGUAGCUGGUCUGAGAGGACGAUCAGCCACACUGGGACUGAGACACGGCCAGACUCCGUACGGAGCAGCAGUGGGGAAUUUCCGCAAUGGGCGAAAGCCUGACGGAGCAAGACCGCGUGAGGGG
rnacentral:rRNA from 1 species